UUGUUGGUAAGGUAAAAGCUUACCAAGGCUUCGAUCAGUAGCUGGUCUGAGAGGACGGCCAGCCACACUGGGACUGAGACACGGCCCAGACUCCUACGGGAGGCAGCAGUGGGGAAUUUUGGACAAUGGGGGAAACCCUGAUCCAGCCAUGCCGCGUGAGUGAAGAAGGCCUUCGGGUUGUAAAGCUCUUUCAGCCGGAACGAAACGGUUACGGAUAAUACCCGUGACUACUGACGGUACCGGAAGAAGAAGCACCGGCUAACUACGUGCCAGCAGCCGCGGUAAUACGUAGGGUGCGAGCGUUAAUCGGAAUUACUGGGCGUAAAGCGUGCGCAGGUGGUUUUGUAAGUCAGAUGUGAAAGCCCCGGGCUCAACCUGGGAACUGCGUUUGAAACUACAAGACUAGAGUGUGGCAGAGGGGGGUGGAAUUCCGCGUGUAGCAGUGAAAUGCGUAGAGAUGUGGAGGAACACCGAUGGCGAAGGCAGCCCCCUGGGUUAACACUGACACUCAGGCACGAAAGCAUGGGGAGCAAACAGGAUUAGAUACCCUGGUAGUCCAUGCCCUAAACGAUGUCAACUAGUUGUCGGGCCUUUACGGGCUUGGUAACGUAGCUAACGCGUGAAGUUGACCGCCUGGGGAGUACGAUCGCAAGAUUAAAACUCAAAUGAAUUGACGGGGACCCGCACAAGCGGUGGAUUAUGUGGAUUAAUUCGAUGCAACGCGAAAAACCUUACCUACCCUUGACAUGUAUCGAAGCCCGCAGAAAAGCGGGGGUGCCCGAAAGGGAACGAUAACACAGGUGCUGCAUGGCUGUCGUCAGCUCGUGUCGUGAGAUGUUGGGUUAAGUCCCGCAACGAGCGCAACCCUUGUCAUUAAUUGCCAUCAUUUAGUUGGGCACUUUAAUGAGACUGCCGG
rnacentral:rRNA from 1 species